GAUAAAAUGGCUGAAAUAUUAGGCUGUAAAUUGUAAAUUUACAUAUGAUUGUUUAAUCUUUUAUCA
rnacentral:tRNA from 1 species